rnacentral:rRNA from 1 species
CGCACGGGUGAGUAACACGUGAGUGACCUGCCUUUUAGACUGGAACAACUUACCGAAAGGUGAGCUAAUGCCGGAUGAGUUAUAUAAGUGCAUGUUUAUAUAGGAAAAGUUGGGGAGACCUGACGCUGAAAGAUGGACUCGCGUCCCAUUAGCUAGUUGGUAGGGUAAUGGCCUACCAAGGCGACGAUGGGUAGCCGGCCUGAGAGGGUGGCCGGCCACACUGGGACUAAGACACGGCCCAGACUCCUACGGAAGGCAGCAG